rnacentral:rRNA from 1 species
AGUGAACGCUGGCGGUAGGCCUAACACAUGCAAGUCGAACGGCAGCACAGUAAGAGCUUGCUCUUACGGGUGGCGAGUGGCGGACGGGUGAGGAAUACAUCGGAAUCUACUUUUUCGUGGGGGAUAACGUAGGGAAACUUACGCUAAUACCGCAUACGACCUACGGGUGAAAGUAGGGGAUCUUCGGACCUUGCGCGAUUGACUGAGCCGAUGUCGGAUUAGCUAGUUGGCGGGGUAAAGGCCCACCAAGGCGACGAUCCGUAGCUGGUCUGAGAGGAUGAUCAGCCACACUGGAACUGAGACACGGUCCAGACUCCUACGGGAGGCAGCAGUGGGGAAUAUUGGACAAUGGGCGCAAGCCUGAUCCAGCCAUACCGCGUGGGUGAAGAAGGCCUUCGGGUUGUAAAGCCCUUUUGUUGGGAAAGAAAAGCAGCAGGUUAAUACCCCGCUGUUCUGACGGUACCCAAAGAAUAAGCACCGGCUAACUUCGUG